UUUCUCAGAGAUGUCUUAGGAGGUUGGACUGGCAAUGGUGAAGGUUACAGCUGUGCAUGGAGAUCAAAAAUGCUCUAGAGCCUGAAGAGGAUGGGGUUCUGCCACGUCUUGCCUGUGGGGACAGUCAUCUACCCAAGACUCCCGAAUGCCAAGAAUGGAAAAGUACCUGCUAAUGAGCAUAAAAUUCCUCACCUGGGAAAUGAGCGUGCCUUGGGAUUCACUCCACACCCUCCAGCACUGUCUGACUUCUCUACCGUAAUUGUAACAGGAACAGCAGUUUCCAUCUCUCACAGGUCUCAGGUGCGGUGUGCCUCUCCAGCUUUGGCUCCUCAGUGCUGGCGACCCUGACAGGCCUAUUGGAAGA
rnacentral:lncRNA from 1 species